rnacentral:rRNA from 1 species
AUUGAACGCUGGCGGCGUGCCUAACACAUGCAAGUCGAGCGGUAACAGGUGUAGCAAUACAUGCUGACGAGCGGCGGACGGGUGAGUAACGCUUGGGAAUCUGCCUGUUAGUGGGGGACAACCCGGGGAAACUCGGGCUAAUACCGCAUACGCACUACGGUGGAAAGCCGGGGACCGCAAGGCCUGGCGCUAACAGAUGAGCCCAAGUCGGAUUAGCUAGUUGGUAGGGUAACGGCCUACCAAGGCGACGAUCCGUAACUGGUCUGAGAGGACGACCAGUCACACCGGAACUGAGACACGGUCCGGACUCCUACGGGAGGCAGCAGUGGGGAAUAUUGGACAAUGGGGGCAACCCUGAUCCAGCAAUGCCGCGUGAGUGAUGAAGGCC